AGUUUGAGUGCUCGCAGAGCGGGGAUUGGGAGCCUUUGCCGCGAGAAAGUAGGCCGGGGGAAGUAGGGCGGCUACCUUCUUACUCACAUAGGUUUCAACUUUACAGGACUUGAAAAGCUCGAGGGGAAUUUGUGCAAAAGCACCCGAGAAAUUCCAGGGGAUCUUCCAGACCCAGGGACUGAACCAAGGUCUCCUGCUUUGAAGGCAGAUUCUUUACCUUCUGAGCCAGCAGGGAUGCCCCUGUAAUUGCUUAUUGAGUGCAUAUUAUACACCAAGGAUAGCCUAAGCACUGAAGUAUCACAGGGAAUGAGGCAGAUGACACUACGUAACCUUUGGUUACUGUUGCUGCAUUUGGGGAAAGUGGGAGCUUACAUGACUUCAUGGCACCAGGAGAGAGGAGGACUCAGAUCCACAUGUCUCCUGCUUCCUAGCCUGGCCACUGGACUGGUCUUACCCAAUCUUUUGUCGCUCACUGGCACACACACGUGGAGUCUGAGUUCUCAGACACUUCCUUCUGAUUUGAAAAAGUACUACAUACGGAGGUUUUUUCCAUCCUGACUCCAGAUUGGCUGUUCAUUCAGACCUCAGCCCCUUUCUGGUACCUCACUAAGGCAGUUGGGAACUCUAUAUCUCUAUAUGCCACACACAGGCUAUAGAGAGCUGCCUCUGCUCUCCUGCCUUCUCUGAGACCACACCAUCAUUUUCCUAGGCCGGAUAUAGAGAAGCUAAAGGCUGGGCUUCCAGAGGCCUGCAGCCUCUCCAAAUCAUGCCCUGGGAAUGGAGUCACCAAAUUCAAUUAACUUGGGCUCCCCACUGCCCAACCGGAUGUCUCGAUAGUCUCCUCACCUUGAAGUUCAGCCAGGAAGGAGGGACUGGAACUCUGCCAUUGGCAUCUGAACAUCUCCGUCUCCCUCUGGAUCUACUGUCCUUCCUUUCCCACACUUAUACCUCUUCAGAUUGAACGAUCCUCACCAUAGCCUCCUAUCCUGGGGGACACCAGGCCUCAUGAAAAAUGGCUAAAGGAGUAUCUUCUCUACCUCGGUCUGGGUUGAUGGUGAAGCCUCAGUAACUCUAAGAUCUAUGAGUUACAGAGGAUGAAAAUACGUAGGUUUAGUACUCUCAAAAUAUUGUAUAUGAAUGCUUCAUAUAUAUGAAGUAUUCCCCAUUAUAUAUGAAUACUUCAAAGCAGAAGAUCAACAAAAGUAGAAUACAGUAACAAUUUUGACUAAUGUUCUACCGAUAGUAUUUUCAUAGCUAAAAAAAAAAAGAUCCUUGGCUUCUCUGCUUACUAAAGUCAUGCAUGCUUAUUGUAAAACCAACAAAACAACCCAAAAUACAUUUCUAAAUGUACAGUGAGGGCAGAAGAGUUCCUUAGUUCUGGAUUGGCCAAGGACUGCUGCUCACAGAAAAGUACAGCUUACAAGAGAUUUCUCCUUUAGAAGGUGCCAGGGUCUAGGGGCAUUGUCCUUACAACUGGAAAUCUCUCUUGAGAGUUGGAACCCAGCAAGGAUAUUUUCCCUCGAGUUUGGGGAUUAUGAGCUUGAGAAUAAGAAUAUGACCCAGGGGCUGAACUGGAUGGUGGGAUAUAUAUGAGGCGUAGGGGAAUCGUGGAUACAAAAUUCCAAAUAAAUGUGUUUCUGGAACCAACCUGGAUUGGAUUUCCAACUGAGCUUCUGCUAUAUCUUUCUUUAUGAGCACAAAUGCAUCCUAGUUUAUUUGGGUGUGUUUUACAGUGUUUGAUGACAUUUAUAUAGUGGGGUAGGAGUGUUCCUUCUCAGUGACAAUAUUCUGGAAGUAUGAUGGGCUGAUGGGUCCCAAUAUAAUACAAAUACUCUGAUAAGUACCAUGUGCUGUCACUUCCAUUCUCCCUUUUUGUCCUCCAAACAGCACCUUGCAGUAGCUAACUCUGUGUAACAGAUGAGGCAGCAAGAAGUCCCCAGUAGGUGAACUGAUUGCCUCCAAUCUCAUAGAAGGUAGAAAAUAGAACUGGGACCACACCAAUGUGCACAAGGAACAUUGCACACCAAGCCAUCAGCCACUGCAGCCGCCCCUCAGCAUACCCUGAGGGGAACUCAGGAUGAAGAAAAAUAGCAUGCUAGCCUUAGACAGUUAAGAUGUAUAUCAAAGGAAUAAUUUAGGUGAGCUCAGACUCUUGCAUCUUCCCAUACAUAGAAAAGCAUUGAAAUCAUAAACUCGAGAUGUCUGUUUUUGUGUGUGUGACUAGCAAUAAUCUUUUGAUGUUUGACUACAUUUUGUUCUUUUUUUUUCCCAGCAAAAACUACUUACCCUGGCUCCUUUCUUACCUUUUUGAACAGUCCAAAAAAGCUAUCUGAGAGGUUAUCUCCCAGACUGUAGUCCUCUGUAUGGUCCCAGAAUAAAACAUGACUCAGCUUUUA